rnacentral:rRNA from 1 species
UACGGAGGGUGCGAGCGUUAAUCGGAAUUACUGGGCGUAAAGGGUGCGUAGGUGGUUUGAUAAGUUAUCUGUGAAAGCCCUGGGCUCAACCUGGGAAUGCCAGAUAGUACUGUUGAACUCGAGUAUUGGAGAGGGUAGUGGAAUUUCCGGUGUAGCGGUGAAAUGCGUAGAGAUCGGAAGGAACACCAGUGGCGAAGGCGGCUACCUGGCCAGAUACUGACACUGAGGCACGAAAGCGUGGGGAGCAAACAGG